AUCAAGCAUGAAAACAGGAAAAAGUGGUUUUGAAGCCGAGGCGGUCCUAGCCACCCACGAUCGCUUUGAAAAACUUUCAGCAUUCACCUCAGGAAAUGACCCUUCACAUUUCUUCUUCACAUGCUGGCUGGCGGCCCAGAAGUGGGGGAUCAAGGAAGAUGAUUAUAAAAUUCAGAACUUGCUUGUCUACCCUGUUUGGCCCCUUGGGAAAAUGGACCAAGCAGGUACUGGCAGCAGGAAAAUGAGGCAAAGCGUCCUUUGAAGCAAAACAUUCCAUGCGAUGCAAUUCGUGCUCACCAUUGUCUCUGUCCUCCUAGAAGCUAUUAGUGAGCGUA